rnacentral:rRNA from 1 species
CUAUGCGCCUUGCCAGCCCGCUCAGAAACUCAAAGGAAGUUGACGGGGGCCCGCACAAGCGGUGGAGCACGUGGUUUAAUUCGAUGAUACGCGAGGAACCUUACCUGGGCUCAAAUGUAUGUUGACGUAUUCUGAAAGGGAUACUUCUUCGGACAAUAUACAAGGUGCUGCAUGGUUGUCGUCAGCUCGUGCCGUGAGGUGUCGGGUUAAGUCCCAUAACGAGCGCAACCCUCGCCCUUAGUUGCCAGCAUUUAGUUGGGCACUCUAAGGGGACUGCCGGUGAUAAGCCGAGAGGAAGGUGGGGAUGACGUCAAGUCAUCAUGGCCCUUACGGCCUGGGCUACACACGUGCUACAAUGGUCGGUACAAAGGGUUGCCAAGCCGCGAGGUGGAGCUAAUCCCAUAAAACCGAUCGUAGUCCGGAUCGCAGUCUGCAACUCGACUGCGUGAAGUCGGAAUCGCUAGUAAUCGUGAAUCAGAAUGUCACGGUGAAUACGUUCCCGGGCCUU